rnacentral:rRNA from 1 species
UGCUCUUAUGAAGUUAGCGGCGGACGGGUGAGUAACACGUGGGUAACCUGCCCAUAAGACUGGGAUAACUCCGGGAAACCGGGGCUAAUACCGGAUAAUAUUUUGAACUGCAUGGUUCGAAAUUGAAAGGCGGCUUCGGCUGUCACUUAUGGAUGGACCCGCGUCGCAUUAGCUAGUUGGUGAGGUAACGGCUCACCAAGGCAACGAUGCGUAGCCGACCUGAGAGGGUGAUCGGCCACACUGGGACUGAGACACGGCCCAGACUCCUACGGGAGGCAGCAGUAGGGAAUCUUCCGCAAUGGACGAAAGUCUGACGGAGCAACGCCGCGUGAGUGAUGAAGGCUUUCGGGUCGUAAAACUCUGUUGUUAGGGAAGAACAAGUGCUAGUUGAAUAAGCUGGCACCUUGACGGUACCUAACCAGAAAGCCACGGCUAACUACGUGCCAGCAGCCGCGGUAAUACGUAGGUGGCAAGCGUUAUCCGGAAUUAUUGGGCGUAAAGCGCGCGCAGGUGGUUUCUUAAGUCUGAUGUG